GGCACUGAGAAGCAGGGAUGGUUAGCUGGGACCAGCUGAGCCACCCCCACUGUGGUGACCCUAGCACUUGUGACAGUCAGAUAGGAAAGGCAUCCACCUAAUGUGGAGUUUGCUUAUCCCUUCAUGAAACAAAGGCCCCCAUCAGAGGGUGAAGACAGCAAAAAUUUACCUGCAAAAGGGCAACUCAAUCUAAACUUCAUCACUCAGAGGAGGAGACCAAGCUCCCUGAACAGGUUUCCUUAAAGACAAAAAUGAGAGAGUAAAACAAAUGUAGCAUCAGUGAUGAUCCCCACAAGGCAAUGGAAUUAUCCCACAGCUAUAAUGUACACCUCAGAGACUACAGGCAAUUUAUUAUGAAACUAAAUAACUGAAGACUUCACUUAUAAUUUCAACUUCAACUCCAUGUUCAAUUUGCAUCAAAAUAUGUGUGCUACCAAUAAAACUGCGCCAGAAAA